rnacentral:rRNA from 1 species
AUUGAACGCUGGCGGCAGGCCUAACACAUGCAAGUCGAGCGAGAAAGGUCUUCGGACUGAGUACAGCGGCGGACGGGUGAGUAAUGCGCAGGAAUCUACCUGGUAGUGGGGGAUAACUCGGGGAAACUCGAACUAAUACCGCAUACGCCCUACGGGGGAAAGCGGGGGACCUUCGGGCCUCGCGCUAUCAGAUGAGCCUGCGUAGGAUUAGCUUGUUGGUGAGGUAAAGGCUCACCAAGGCGACGAUCCUUAGCUGGUCUGAGAGGAUGAUCAGCCACACUGGAACUGAGACACGGUCCAGACUCCUACGGGAGGCAGCAGUGGGGAAUAUUGCGCAAUGGGCGAAAGCCUGACGCAGCCAUGCCGCGUGUGUGAAGAAGGCCCUUGGGUUGUAAAGCACUUUCAAUUGGGAAGAAAGGUUGCGUGUUAAUAGCACGUAGCUGUGACGUUACCUUUAGAAGAAGCACCGGCUAACUCCGUGCCAGCAGCCGG